UAGUGAUGAAACAUUUUAGAUGUAAUAGGACUUAAGAUCUUAUAAACUAUUUUUUAAGCUCACUUA
rnacentral:tRNA from 1 species